UGGGGAAUUUUGGACAAUGGGGGAAACCCUGAUCCAGCCAUCCCGCGUGUGCGAUGAAGGCCUUCGGGUUGUAAAGCACUUUUGGCAGGAAAGAAACGUCAUGGGUUAAUACCCCGUGAAACUGACGGUACCUGCAGAAUAAGCACCGGCUAACUACGUGCCAGCAGCCGCGGUAAUACGUAGGGUGCAAGCGUUAAUCGGAAUUACUGGGCGUAAAGCGUGCGCAGGCGGUUCGGAAAGAAAGAUGUGAAAUCCCAGAGCUCAACGUUGGAACUGCAUUUUUAACUACCGGGCUAGAGUGUGUCAGAGGGCGGUGGAAUUCCGCGUGUAGCAGUGAAAUGCGUAGAUAUGCGGAGGAACACCGAUGGCGAAGGCAGCCUCCUGGGAUAACACUGACGCUCAUGCAAGAAAGCGUGGGGAGCAAACAGG
rnacentral:rRNA from 1 species